AACUCCGAAUGCCGGUUAAGUGAAGCGUGGCAGUGAGACUGCGGGGGAUAAGCUUCGUAGUCGAGAGGGAAACAGCCCAGAUCAUCAGCUAAGGCCCCUAAGCGUGUGCUAAGUGGGAAAGGUUGUGGAGUUGCUGAGACAACCAGGAGGUUGGCUUAGAAGCAGCCAUCCUUUAAAGAGUGCGUAAUAGCUCACUGGUCAAGUGGUUCUGCGCCGAUAAUGUAGCGGGGCUUAAGCACACCGCCGAAGCUGUGGAGCCCGGUUUUCCGGGUUGGUAGGGGAGCGUCGUGCGUUCGGUGAAGCCGCCGAGUGAUCGUGUGGUGGAGGGCGUGCGAGUGAGAAUGCAGGCAUGAGUAGCGAUAGCAACGUGAGAAACGUUGCCGCCGAUUGACUAAGGGUUCCUGGGGCAGGUUAAUCCGCCCAGGGUGAGUCUGGACCUAAGGCGAGGCCGACAGGCGUAGUCGAUGGAUAACGGGUUGAUAUUCCCGUACCCGUGCACGAGCGUCCAGUAUCGAAUCAGGUGAUGCUAACCACGCUGGUCCUUGGUGGUUCCUUCGGGAGCUGCCUCUGGUCUGGUCUGGGAUCCGAGCUUGUAGUAGGUAAGUGAUGGGGUGACGCAGGAGGGUAGCUCUACCCGGCGGUGGUUGUCCGGGGGUAAGCGUGUAGGCUGGGGGGUUGGCAAAUCCGCCCCUUGUGAAGGCUGAGACGUGAUGCGGAGCCGUUUUUGGCGAAGUGAGUGAUCCCAUGCUGUCGAGAAAAGCCUCUAGCGAGUUCGUGAGCGGCCAGUACCCUAAACCGACGCAGGUGGUCAGGUAGAGAAUACCGAGGCGUUCGGGUGAACCAUGGUUAAGGAACUCGGCAAAUUGUCCCCGUAACUUUGGGAGAAGGGGAGCCCUGUCUGGUGAAGGCCUUUGCGGCUGGAGCUGGGUGGGGUCGCAGAUAGCGGGGGGAAGCGACUGUUUAUUAAAAACACAGGUCCGUGCGAAGUCGUAAGACGCUGUAUACGGACUGACGCCUGCCCGGUGCUGGAACGUUAAGAGGACUGGUCAAUGGGGUUCGUCCCUGUGAAGCUGGGAAUCUAAGCGCCAGUAAACGGCGGUGGUAACUAUAACCAUCCUAAGGUAGCGAAAUUCCUUGUCGGGUAAGUUCCGACCUGCACGAAUGGCGUAACGACUUCCCCACUGUCUCAACCAUGGGCCCGGUGAAAUUGCACUACGAGUAAAGAUGCUCGUUUCGCGCAGCAGGACGGAAAGACCCCGGGACCUUCACUAUAGCUUGACAUUGGUGUUUGGGAUGGUUUGUGUAGGAUAGGUGGGAGCCGGUGAAGCUAUCACGCUAGUGGUGGUGGAGGCGUUGGUGAAAUACCACUCUGACUGUUUCGGGCAUCUAACCUUGGGCCGUGAUCCGGUUCGGGGACAGUGUCUGGUGGGUAGUUUAACUGGGGCGGUUGCCUCCCAAAGAGUAACGGAGGCGCCCAAAGGUUCCCUCAGCCUGGUUGGUAAUCAGGUGUUGAGUGUAAGUGCACAAGGGAGCUUGACUGUGAGACGGACGUGUCGAGCAGGAGCGAAAGCUGGGACUAGUGAUCCGGCACCGGCGUGUGGAAGCGGUGUCGCUCAACGGCUAAAAGGUACCCCGGGGAUAACAGGCUGAUCUUCCCCAAGAGUCCAUAUCGACGGGAUGGUUUGGCACCUCGAUGUCGGCUCGUCGCAUCCUGGGGCUGGAGUUGGUCCCAAGGGUUGGGCUGUUCGCCCAUUAAAGCGGCACGCGAGCUGGGUUUAGAACGUCGUGAGACAGUUCGGUCCCUAUCCGCUGUGCGCGUUGGAGACUUGAGAAGGGCUGUCCCUAGUACGAGAGGACCGGGACGGACGAACCUCUGGUGUGCCAGUUGUCCUGCCAAGGGCAUGGCUGGUUGGCUACGUUCGGGAGGGAUAACCGCUGAAAGCAUCUAAGCGGGAAGCUUGCUUCGAGAUGAGGUCUCCUGCCUCCUUUGAGAGGGUAAGGCUCCCUAGAGACGAUGGGGUUGAUAGGCCGGGUGUGGAAGCCCUGUGAGGGGUGGAGCUGACCGGUACUAAUAGGCCGAGGGCUUGUCCGC
rfam:Nocardiopsis flavescens strain CGMCC 4.5723 genome assembly, contig: Ga0104439_162